rnacentral:rRNA from 1 species
CAGCCGCCGCGGGAACACAGAGGGUGCGAGCGUUAAUCGGAUUUACUGGGCGUAAAGCGUGCGUAGGCGGCUUUUUAAGUCGGAUGUGAAAUCCCUGAGCUUAACUUAGGAAUUGCAUUCGAUACUGGGAAGCUAGAGUAUGGGAGAGGAUGGUAGAAUUCCAGGUGUAGCGGUGAAAUGCGUAGAGAUCUGGAGGAAUACCGAUUGCGAAGGCAGCCAUCUGGCCUAAUACUGACGCUGAGGUACGAAAGCAUGGGGAGCAAACAGGAUUAGAUACCCCAGUAGUCCCUGUCUCUUAUAC